GGAUUGUGGCUCAGCGGUAGAGUGCUUGCCUCGUAUGUGGGAGACCCUGGGUUCGAGCCUCAGCACCA
rnacentral:tRNA from 1 species